rnacentral:rRNA from 1 species
UGCGCAGGCGGGCAUUUAAGUCAGUGGUGAAAUCUCUCGGCUCAACCGAGAAACUGCCAUUGAAACUGAUAGCCUUGAGUGUAGUUGUAGUAGGCGGAAUAUAGCAUGUAGCGGUGAAAUGCUUAGAUAUGCUAUAGAACACCGAUCGCGAAGGCAGCUUACUAAACUAUUACUGACGCUCAUGCACGAAAGCGUGGGGAGCAAACAGGAUUAGAUACCCUGGUAGUCC